ensembl:lncRNA
UAGAACCUCUACAUUCUGGUGRCUGAUUCUGCUAUUGGAAUGGCCUCCCUCACAGCCUCAAGAAAGAAUGGCUAUUCCUGAAGCCAUCAAAAUGUCACGUAAUCUGGCGCUGCAAUACUUCUGCUUUUGACUGGAUCACUGUCCAGAAAAGAAAUCCAGAAAAAGGAGAAUAUUCUUGCUAUAGAGCUUUUGGAGUCUUUGAGUACACUGAGUGGUCCCCUCAAGUGGGAAGAGGCAAGUGAAGAUUGUUUUUCUCCUUUCUUGCUCUGUAGAAGGACAUAUACCAACAGGAAACUGCUAUGGUUGGGAACCCAAGGGAACUAACAAUAUGCAGUGUGCUCUUAAAGGGAUAAGAAUUACUGUCACAGUUCUACUACCCGAAGAAAUGAAACCCUGCAGCUAAUCCUGCCCUUUGCUUCCAUGCUGUGCACCUUGGCUAAUGACAAGAGAUGUGACUGGAGUAGAUCUGGCUCUUUGCUAACAUCUGCAUUGCUGAAAUGAUGCACUGAGAGACCAAGUUUGAGAACCUAAACAAGUAGAAACUACCAAAAAGUAUGUUGUGAUGAAAGACUAAAUCAGACUGCAUUUUCCUGGAAGUCUACAUUUGCAGAUACUAGGUGCGGGGAGCAGAGGAUUUUCCUGUGUAGGCUCCAAUUUGUCAUUGUAGCGUAAAAGUAAAUUGCAAUAUAUAGAUGUAAUUAAACAUUAUUAGUGUUGCAGCUGUUUUUUAUCACACUUGUCUUAGCUUUAUCUUGAUUUUGGGGUAAAAACACAGUGUUUAGUUUUGUCAGUAUCUUGUGAAUCUGAGGAUACUGUGUUUAAAUUCAGAGUGUUUAGACAGUGUUACAAUCUCCUUCUAAAGAAGGAGCAGAGUUAGAGAGAAAUGCACUUGAAGUAAAAAUCUUACCUUAGUAACAGAGAACUUUAAUCUUGAUAUUGCGUGGGCUGUUUUAAACCGUGAUUUUAUAAAGAUUUCAGCCCAAGAACAUCUGUUUGUAUUCACUUCAGUAGUAUUUGAAGUCUAGAAAAUAAGCUGGGGCAUUAUUUGUUUUGAAAAAUGCCUUUGCACAGAUUGCCAUUUUGCAUUACAGAAUGUCGACUUCUCUUGCAAAUGUAU